UGACCUGAUGGGCAGCUUCCGGGAAACCAAAGUUUUUGGGUUCCGGGGGAAGUAUGGUUGCAAAGCUGGAACUUAAAGGAAUUGACGGAAGGGCACCACCAGGAGUGGAGCCUGUGGCUUAAUUUGACUCAACGCGGGGAAGCUCACGAGGCCCGGACACUGGAAGGAUUGACAGAUUGAGAGCUCUUUCUUGAUUCGGUGGGUGGUGGUGCAUGGCCGUUCUUAGUUGGUGGAGUGAUUUGUCUGGUUAAUUCCGAUAACGAACGAGACUCUGGCUUACUAAAUAGGCGGCGGAUCUUUGUAUCCGCUAUGUCUUCUUAGAGGGAUAAGGCAGCUCUAAGCUGCAUGAGAAGGGGCAAUAACAGGUCUGUGAUGCCCUUAGAUGUUCUCGGCCGCACACGCGCUACACUGAAAGAGGCAACGUGUUUGCCUGAUUCGAAAGAAUUGGGUAACCCCCUAAUCUCUUUCGUGCUGGGGAUUGAGGUUUGCAAUUAUCCUUCAUGAACGAGGAAUUCCCAGUAAGUGCGAGUCAUUAUCUCGCGCUGACUACGUCCCUGCCCUUUGUACACACCGCCCGUCGCUACUACCGAUUGAAUGAUUUAGUGAGGACUUCGGACUGAGUCCAAUGCGGAUUAUGGG
rnacentral:rRNA from 1 species